AUUCAGCUGACGAGUUCGAAAUAAGACGAAACGAACGUCAAACUGGAU
rnacentral:hammerhead_ribozyme from 1 species